GACAGAGGGUGCAAACGUUGUUCGGAAUUACUGGGCGUAAAGCGAGUGUAGGCGGUCUGUAAGGUCGGGUGUGAAAGCCCCGGGCUCAACCCGGGAAGUGCACUCGAAACUCACAGGCUAGAGUAUCGGAGAGGUUGGUGGAAUUCUCGGUGUAGAGGUGAAAUUCGUAGAUAUCGAGAGGAACACCGGUGGCGAAGGCGGCCAACUGGACGAAUACUGACGCUGAGACUCGAAAGCGUGGGGAGCAAACAGG
rnacentral:rRNA from 1 species